ensembl:lincRNA
AAAUAAUUUACUUCAGCCAAUACAGAAUGUGCUCUUCCUGAAGUGAAAGGACUUUUCUUCCAGAACUGAAGAGUCGCAUCGGAUUCAUCAGCUCCAGAGGGAAGAGGUGGCUGUGAUCCUGCUGGAGUCGGAGCAGCUCCAAAGGACACUCACAGAGAGAAGAAGGCUGAGACUGCGUGCAAAUGAAGACUGGACUUACUCCUUGAGUGCAAAACACACAACAAAGGCUGAAGGCACUUCAAGCACUCGUGGUGCAAAGAUCGGGCAGAAAAAUUCAGAUGCAUCCUCACAAAAAUUAUGGCAGCAGCAAGUAAGAAGAUAAUGAUCCUGAGAAUCAGCACCCAAGACCAGCGGUCAGUCCAGCAGGAAAGAGAUAAAGGUGGCAUGGGACAAGCACCACCCUCACCUCUGGGGACCAUCCCCCAGACACCAAGCAGGAAGACGAAGCUCAGGUCACGUUCAUCAUGGCUGAACUCCAGGUCACCUGUGGUGCAGAGAAAGUGGCUGGCUCAGAUGUCCAGGCCUAUGAGUAGGAACAAUGACGGGACUUUCUCUGAAGCUUGCAUUGCACUUAUCCGCAGCGGGGAAGGGGUUGCGGAAUGACCUCUCUCCUUGUGAACUCCAGCAGAGCAGUUUUUCUGUGUGUUUGUUUUCUAUUUUUCUUGGUAUUGUUUUGUUUUCUAAUUUUACAAAUUGAAAAUGAUAUAUGACCAAGUUUACUCUUCUCUCCUUGGAGACUGAAUAAUUUUUCAAAUCUUGACUGACCAUCUUCUCUUUCUCAUGGACGAAUCGUCCCUUCCUGGGUUUAGAAGUGCAGUGCUGUGUUGAGCAUAUGGACAUGACUGUGAGUCCCUGGCCGUCUUCCGUUUCUCGUGGAGGAAUUGUCCCUUUCUGUGUUUAGAAGUGCAGUUCUGUGUUGAGCAGACAGACAUGACUGUGAGUCCCUGGCCGUCUUCUGUUUCUCGUGGAGGAAUUGUCUCUCCCUGUCUUUAGUACUGCAGUGCUGUGUUGAGCAGACAGACAUGGCUGUGAGUCUCUGGGCUUGUGCCCUGGCCCAGUCAUUGCCUAGGCAACUCCCUCCCCACGGGCACCUGGCCUCUCUCCACUUUACUUUCUGAACCUGUAAAAGGGGUAGGAGGAUGGAGGAUGGUAGGUCCUACCUCACAGAGCUCACGAGAGGAUUGGUACAGAUGAAAGCACUCGGAACACUGGCUGCAAUAUGAUAGGUCCUCAUCCAAUGUUAAUUACCAUUAUAAUUAUAAGCGUCUUUUAAAAGUAUUUGUCAUAAUACCUUUUUAUGUGGAUGGAAAGAGUGAUAUAAAUUUUCACUGUCAUGAUGUGAACAGAACCUGGAGCACGCUUGGGUGGAGCCUGGAACUUUGGGUUAUUGAAGAGCCUGCUAGCACUAGUUCUAACAGCUGAGAUAUAGAAUCAGUCCAGGUGUCCAAUAAUACAUGAAUGGAUGAAGUAUCCAUGGAGAUACAUGAAUUGAAAAUGUAUAUACACAUACACUUUAAAAUUUGUGUAUACACAAUGGAAUACUAUUCAGCCAUAAAAAGAAUGAAAUCCUGUCAUUCAUGGCAAAAUGGUUGGAACUGGAGGACACCGUGUUCAGUAAAACGAGCCAGGAACACGAAGUUAAACGCCUCAUGUUCUCACUUAUUCGUGGAAGCUUAAAAAUGCUGAUCUCAUAGAAGUAAAAGGUAGAACAGAAGAUCCUAGAGGCUGGGAAGGAUUGGAGAAAGGGAGAGAUAGGGAGAGAUUUGUUAAAGAAUACAAAAUUACAGCUAGACGGGAGUAAUAAUUUCUAGUGUUCUAUACCACUGUAGGAUGACUACAGUUAACAAUAAUAUACAGUUUUAAAUAGCUAUAGGGAGGAUAUUGACAAGGAAAUAAUAAGUAUUUGAGAUGAUGGAGAUGCAAAUCACCCUGAUCUGAUCACUGUAAAACUUAUGUAUUAAAAUAUCCCUGUUUACCCCCAUGAAGGUGUACAAUUAUUAUGUGUCCAUGAAACAUAAAUAAAGUAAAUUUUUAAGACUCCA